ensembl:lncRNA
GCUCUCUCUCGGGGAGUCAGGAAGGGCAUCAUAGGGAAGAGGUGACUUCUAAGCAAGUGUUAGAAGAUGAGUAGGGUCUGCUGCCUGUAGAAGUCUAGCAAGGGCAUCCCAAGCAGAAGGAGUCACAGGGCAGAGUUCAGGGCCCCAGGGCAGGGUGACACAUUGGGCACCUGUCUAGAGUUGGGGCCAAGCAGUGGAGGAUCCAUGCUGCCACAUCACGGCAGUCACUCAUAUACUAACAACCCCCAAGUCUGAGUAAACAGCCUGGGCCUUUUCCCUAAGCCCUUAACUCACACACCACCGCCUGCUCAGCAGCUACACUGCGAAGUGUACGGGCAAGAAGUCUCAGUUUGUCCUUAAGAAAAGAUGAAAAAGCCAAAACACGACCUUGUUCUUCUCUGGUCUUCCGGUCUUCCCUGUCUCACGUGGCACCACGCAGGCCCAGAAUAUGGGCGGCGCGGUUAAUGCUGCCCCUGCCCUCAUCCCACACAUCAUGGGUCUGCUGCAGUUCCAGACGGCUUCUCCUCCAGAGCGCACCCUGAAGCCGCCACCCCUCUCCCUGGGACUCUCCACUUCCACCCUGGCCCUGCUGCUGUCAGGUUUCUGCCUAGUGAGGAGAGUGACCUUUACAAAGUAGAGAAGCUCCUGCUUUCUGGCCGCCAUGGAAUAGAAUCUACGCCUCUUGCCAUGGCCUGCCCGCCGCUUACUUCUCUGCCCUCAUCUCUCCGCGCUGUCAGCUUACUCCAUGUCAGACACCGUGUCUUUCUUGCUGGUCCUCUCUUGUGUCCUUGCACUUGCUGUCCUUAGCCUGGGUCUUUCUCUCCCCUCGUCUGGCCUGGCGCACCCUCCCUCCGUUCUGGUCUCCUUUCAUGUGCUCUCUCUCUCACCGGUCGAAAAAAAGCGCUGUUGUACUCUUUCCCCCAGCAACCACUCUGUCCUUUUACCUUGCUUUGUUUUUCUUCAUCAGCACCCAUCGCCACCUGAGCUUAUACUGUAUAUUUGUCUUCUUGUUUACUCUUUGCCUAAAUCCAUGAGGAAGGUCUUUGUCUUUCUUGUCUCUUGCACUCACCAUGCCAGAGCUAAACACUGAGCCUGGCACACAGGCAGCGAUGAUGAAACACUAGAUGGGUGAAUGAACAAGUGAGUGAGCGAGCACAUGCCAGUGUGCAAGCCGAGACUUGGGCGUUUAUGCCACAGGAGGCGCGGGCCUAGUAGACAUCUUCCAGGAGAAAAACGUGGAAGAUUGAGGCAUUACAGUAAAAUAAACGGGCCCAUCUCACCAGUUGCAGACAGCAGUCUUAAUAUUCCGGUGAAUUUCCUCUCAUCUGUUUUCUAUAGAACAAGAUGCAGAUGCUUUCCAGAAUUUUCUUCAACUGCAGGCAUUACCAGGGAUCGAAUUUGGAACCUUGCACUUGCACAGCAGGUGCCGGAACCACUGAGCUAAAUCCCCUGCCCCAGCUCUUAGUACGUUUAAGCAUGUGUCGAGUACCAGGAGAGUGGAGUAUACAAGUGCCACAGAUGGAGCUGCUCACCGGCUGCCUGACAAGCUUGCUCUCCAGGCGGGAAUUCCACUACAGAGAUGCCCUCCUCUGCUCCCCUGCCAGCAAACACCUGCAGCACUAACUCCAGGCCACCCUCUUCCUGGCCUCUUCGACUCCCACUACCCAUUCCUGCACACGGAUGUACACACACACACACACACAUGUGUACACACACACGUGUACACACACACACACACACACACGUAUGAGCCAGUAAGCUGAUUAUUUUCUCCUCCAGUUCGGCUCCUGUAUCUUUAUUUCAUGAAAAAAUAAAACAAUUUUAU